rnacentral:lncRNA from 1 species
CCCAAGAGAUGGUGUAUACAUAGCACUUUGUCAACUGUAAAGUCCUAUGUAGAUAUUGUAAUUUAGCCUUGGCUAGAGAAGGCCUCACAAAGGAGGUAGGGUACAUAAGCCUGAGCUGGAAGAGUAGGUGGCAGGUGGCAGAGGGGUGAGGAGGGCCUUACAGGUGGGGGGGACAUGGGUGCUGCUGGGAGGUUGGAGUGAGCAUGGUCAGGAGACAUGAGUUGGCCCUCCUCACAUCCAACUUGAGAGGUUGGUGCUCACCUCUCCCUUCCACAGAUGAGGAUGCUGGGGGAUCCGAAGGCACCAGAGACACUGCACGUCUCCGGCUCCUGGAACAUGCUCCUCCUCCUUUGACCAUGUGGUUCCCUCUAAUCACAGCGACUACCUCAGUAUUUGUUUGUUUGAUAAACUUCUGUUGAUCCUUCACAAUGCAGCAAGGCAGAAAACCAUGCAGAUAUCCAAGUGGCCAGUGUGAAGCUGUGCCCCACCUCCCGAACUCCCCACCCCCAGUCUCUCUGCUGGUCAGGGAAACAAAUUUGCUCUUCAAAUUUGCUGCUCCAACGUUAACUGCAUUUAGAUAAGCUGGAGGAGGGGUCCUAAGGACAGAGCGUGAUACGUACUUGUCCUCAGAGGAAGCAGAGGUUUACCAUUGUUCUGUCAACUUGACCAUGAAGAGUGCAUCUGGCCAGACAACAUGAUGCAGCCUGGAAUUGCCAUCUCUCCUCCUGGGAGGUUUAUCCCUCCCAUCUGCUACAUUUCACCCAAAUGAGGAUGCAGAUCAGAAACAUGACUUGGAGGACAAGGAUGCCCACUUCGCUCAGCUGGCCUUGGGGAUUACUGGUCGUCACUCAGUUUAUGUGACCAUGUUGGAACCUCUAGACGCUGACUCUGAUCUGCUGUCAUUAGAAACACCAAACAUUUACCAAAAGAGCCAAGUCACUGAACCCAAGGGGUUAGUUUGUUUUGAAAACAGACCUAGACUUUCUACCAAGAGCCAGAAAAUCAUUGAAAACAUAAAACAACAAAAAUCUGUGGUGUGUUUGUAAAAAACGAAGACUCUGACCCUGAUCUAAACCAGAGUAUUUUUCUCCUGGCUCCCUCCCUUUUUCCCUUAAUUAGGCUAACUGGAAAGGAAAGGCUUUCAUCAGACCCAAACAGUAAUCUUCCUACCCUAAUCUCUAGGACAAAACAGAGAAUCUGGUCUGGAAUUGAAUUUGAAAUAUUAAAGAAAAA